rnacentral:rRNA from 1 species
GACGUAGGGCGCGAGCGUUGUCCGGAUUUAUUGGGCGUAAAGAGCUCGUAGGCGGCUUGUCGCGUCGACUGUGAAAACCCGCGGCUCAACUGCGGGCCUGCAGCCGAUACGGGCAGGCUAGAGUUCGGUAGGGGAGACUGGAAUUCCUGGUGUAGCGGUGAAAUGCGCAGAUAUCGGGAGGAACACCUGUGGCGAAGGCAGCUCGCUGGGACGUUACUGACGCUGAGACGCGAAAGCGUGGGGAGCAAACAGG